GAUGAGAGGUUUCAGUUUUCUUUUUCUUUUUUCUUUUGACUUGCUCUUUCUGAUCAUGGAAGGCAUGUCCAAAAUACUCGUAUGAAAGCGUAUUUUGUGUGAUUUUAACUGUGUGAAUGCUGUCAGUAUUUGAUUUGAGUGACUGUGUGAUUUGUCUAAGUGAAAAGGGGAAGUCUGAGAGAGAGAAAGGCAGUGCGUGUGAGACGAUUUAUGGCGUCUGAAAGAGGUUAGAGCAUUUAAAAGGUGUGUAUGGAAUAAAGGAGUGUGAAAUAUAUUUCUUGUGUGAUGAAAAGUAGGAUGUGCUAAAGUUUGAAAGUGUUUUUAAUUCAAGAAAACAAAAACAAAGGAGUUAGAUUAGUUUGAGGAACAGGAAAUAUUGCUCUGUCUACCGGGGCUGCAGCGACAGGAAAUAGUGAACAGGAACUGUGCAUGCCCAUAUAUGGGAACUGAGUGUGUACAGAAAGAACACAGAGAGAGAGAUUUAACUCUAGGCACAUGAAGCAAAUGAAGCCUUUAAGAAAAAUGCAUAUAUUACUAAUUAUAUGGUUUAGUGUGUCAAUACAGGUGGGCGUCUUUCAACUUUGCAACCUUGAGUUCAGCAGCAGAAAAGUAGAUUAAAAGAAUUGGGAGAAAAUAAGCCAGUCUUUGGCUCGAAAUUGUGCAGCUUGAGCUCUUACUUUGUCCUUCACCCCGAGAAGACACGCAAAAGACAGUUAAUCACCUGAUGAAGACAGAUAGAACAUCGUGGACUUGAAUACAGCAGGCAAACGACAGGGCCACUGAUCCAUUAACACUGAUGACGACUGACGACCAGCAGCAGCAUGUAAGACUAAUGCAACAUGUACUGUGAAAAUACAGGCUGGGCAGUUGAACAGUGGGAUAAAGAAUUGUGGAAGAGCACUGGACAUUGAGUGAUAUUUUGCCAUGCUGGGACUUAAUCUGAAAGAAAAGACUGUAAAGAAACAGAGAAGAAGACAGCAGCUGAGUUGAGACUGUGUUUGCUGGAGCUUUGAAGCCCGAAUAGGACAUUGUGCAGAGAGGACCAGUGAGAGAUGAAGCUGGACGAGUUUGACUGCGAGAAUAUAGGAUAUAAUUGGAUUGAAAAUUGAAGCCUGAACUCAUGAAUUGUUUAGGGAUGUCCACUACAGCAUAACAAAGAGGUAAACAUUAGAAAAGGUGAGAAUAAUGAAAGAAAUAAUUGUCAUUACCUUAAUGAAUAGAAAACACACAUACAAAUUGUUACAUGUGAGAUAUUUUUGAAAUGAAUCAGAAGUGAGAUAGUUUGAAUCUAAAGCUCAGUGGUGAAAUGCAUAAAUUAAAUAUGAAUAUAUAGGAUGCAAUGAAGAAACAGCUUACACGUAGUGUACAUUAACAUGAAUACAUCGCAAGGCAACGAAGAACUCAAUGAAUUAAUUUAAUGAAGAAGUAGUAUACACCCAAUUAACAUAAAAUGCAGGGAAGAACACGCUUACAUGCAUGGCAUAAUUGGUGUUUCUGACCAGAGACAGAGAAAUGGGUUAUUUAACCACUGGUGAUAAUAAUGAAAAUGUCUUAGUUUUGUUAUUUUCAGGAGUAAAGCAGACUUGGACCGGCUCUCCACAGCAGCAGUCGGAAGAAAGUUAGAGGUUAACAUCUAUGGAUAAGUUAAGGCAAGUUUCUGGUUGAAUUGUUCACAGCAUGAUGUGUCCAGGAACCUGAAAAGCAAG
ensembl:lncRNA